UCGAUUCCCAGCACACACAUGGAAUAUG
rnacentral:piRNA from 1 species